AAAGUAGCUAGCCAGUUCUGUGCAUGAUGUGCAUGCAUACUCAAUCGGGUCUCAUUCUAUUCAACAGGUGAUCUCGAUGGAUCGCAAAAUUUGUGAAGCGACAAAACCUAAAAUAGUUACCAUUUUAUCGGGAAACGAGAUCAUGGCAGAGGACUGGGGUCGAUUUUCUGAUCACCUCGGAAUCUUAUCUCAUCAUAUUGUGGAACUGAAAAGGAAAGCAAAAAAUUUGACGACAUAUGACUUGUUCUCUGCCAUUAUAGCGUACUUCAUCUUCGCCAAAGGGAAGGAAUUUAUCGCAGCUUCUUCGCACCCUUGAUGCCGUAGAUUGUGCAGAGAAAAUCGAAGAACAAAUUGGAAACGAAGAUAAUAACAAUUGCAAAUUAUUGCCCGAUGAAGACAGCACUUUGAGCCGCACGUUCAGCCGUUUCCACUCCUUUUUUCAUCCACAUAUGAAACCUGUUUUCGUGACCAAUUACUAUCAGAAAUUUGAUAAGUAUACUUUCCUAAAAUUUCAGUACGAAAGGGUACUAAAAUUGGCAGAGAAUUAUUGCCAAAUAUCCGAAAGGUAUCCUAGGUUGGAGGAACGUGAAAAGGAGGAAUUUCACACUUUACAAGAAAAAUUGCGAGACAAAUUGAAGAAUGAUAAUAAACGGAAAUUUGUCCUCGAUAUGUUUAAAGCCUGCGAGACAAGCUUGCAAGAUACGAGGAAACAAUGGGAUGUGAUAAAUUUUCAAACUUUUUGUACUCACUUCGAGGAGGAUGAGCAUUCUAUAACGGAAGAAUGCUUAAUCCGGGUCAAGAUACUGUUGCUGACUUAUGGACGAGAUACAUAAAACGUCAUUACAAAAAAAAUAAUUUUUAUGAUUACACACCUUUCCGCCGGGAUGACUAAUUGAUUUUAUUUUUUUAAAUUGUUACCUGUCAAUGAACUAUUGUCAUCUUCAUUCGGCAAGGAUUAAAAGAUUUCGGAUAUUAAAAUCUAAAUUAUUCAUUCAUUUUCUAAUUAAACUAAUUUUUAUUUUUAAACCAGUUAAAGCCAAUCCAUUUUAUGAUUUACUUACAUACAAAGUACAUACAUACAAAGUUACAUAUUUAAUUAAGUAUCUGUGUCUAUCUGUUAUACAUAUAUUAACAUAUAUAACUACUUAAAAUCUUGUAGAUGCAUGGAAAUAAAUAAAAUUGGUAAGAAUAAUCGUACUACA